UAACACGUGAGCAACCUGCCCCGAAGACCGGGAUAACAGUGGGAAACCGCUGCUAAUACCGGAUGCCCUUCUAUGGUCGCAUGGCCUAAGAAGGAAAUGAAUUUCGCUUCGGGAGGGGCUCGCGGGCUAUCAGCUUGUUGGUGAGGUAACGGCUCACCAAGGCUACGACGGCUAGCUGGUCUGAGAGGACGACCAGCCACACUGGGACUGAGACACGGCCCAG
rnacentral:rRNA from 1 species